CCUGGCUCAGGAUGAACGCUAGCGGCAGGCCUAACACAUGCAAGUCGAACGGUAACAGGGAUUAGCUUGCUAAUCCGCUGACGAGUGGCGCACGGGUGCGUAACGCGUAUACAAUCUGCCUUUAAGCGGGGAAUAGCCCAUGGAAACGUGGAUUAAUACCCCAUAGUAUAUAGACUUCACCUGGAGACUAUAUUAAACAUUUAUGGCUUAAAGAUGAGUAUGCGUCCUAUUAGUUAGUUGGUAAGGUAACGGCUUACCAAGACCGCGAUAGGUAGGGGUCCUGAGAGGGAGAUCCCCCACACUGGUACUGAGACACGGACCAGACUCCUACGGGAGGCAGCAGUGAGGAAUAUUGGACAAUGGAGGCAACUCUGAUCCAGCCAUGCCGCGUGCAGGAAGACGGCCCUAUGGGUUGUAAACUGCUUUUAUACGGGAAGAACCACUCCGACGUGUCGGAGCUUGACGGUACCGUAUGAAUAAGGACCGGCUAACUCCGUGCCAGCAGCCGCGGUAAUACGGAGGGUCCAAGCGUUAUCCGGAAUCAUUGGGUUUAAAGGGUCCGUAGGCGGAAUAAUAAGUCAGUGGUGAAAGUCUGCAGCUUAACUGUAGAAUUGCCAUUGAUACUGUUGUUCUUGAAUUAUUAUGAAGUGGUUGGAAUGAGUAGUGUAGCGGUGAAAUGCAUAGAUAUUACUCAGAACACCUAUUGCGAAGGCAGAUCACUAAUAAUAUAUUGACGCUGAGGGACGAAAGCGUAGGUAGCGAACAGGAUUAGAUACCCUGGUAGUCUACGCCGUAAACGAUGGUUACUAGCUGUCCGGCCUAAUUGAGGGCUGGGUGGUUAAGCGAAAGUG
rnacentral:rRNA from 1 species